rnacentral:lncRNA from 1 species
AUGGGAAAGACUAGAGAUCUCUUCAAGAAAAUUAGAGAUACCAAGGGAACAUUUCAUGCAAAGAUGGGUUCAAUAAAGGACAGAAAAGGUAUGGACCUAACAGAAGCAGAAGAUACUCAAAAGAGGUGUCAAGAAUACACAGAAAAACUGUACAAAAAAGAUCUUCAUGACCCAGAUAACCAUGAUGGUAUGAUCACUCACCUAGAGCCAGACAUCCUGGAGUGUGAAGUCAAGUGGGCCUUAGGAAGCAUCACUAUGAACAAAGCUAGUGGAGGUGAUAGAAUUCCAGUUGAGCUAUUUCAAAUCCUGAAAGAUGAUGCUGUGAAAGUGCUGCACUCAAUAUGCCAGCAAAUUUGGAAAACUCAGCAGUGGCCACAGGACUGGAAAAGGUCAGUUUUCAUUCCAAUCCCAAAGAAAGGCAAUGCCAAAGAAUGCUCAAACUACCCCACAAUUGCACUCAUCUCACAUGCUAGUAAAGUGAUGCUCAAAAUUCUCCAAGCCAGGCUUCAGCAAUACAUGAACCACGAAUUUUCAGAUUUUCAAGCUAGAUUUAGAAAAGGCAGAGGAACCAGAGAUCAAAUUGCCAACAUCCACUGGGUCAUCAAAAAAGCAAGAGAGUUCCAGAAAAACAUCUAUUUCUGCUUUAUUGACGAUUCCAAAGCCUUUGACUGUGUGGAUCACAAGAAACUGUGGAAAAUUCUGAAAGAGAUGGGACUACCAGACCACCUGACCUGCCUCUUGAGAAACCUGUAUGCAGGUCAGGAAGCAACAGUUAGACCUGGACAUGGAACAACAGACUGGUUCCAAAUAGGAAAAGGAGUACGUCAAGGCUAUAUAUUGUCACCCUGCUUAUUUAACUUCUAUGCAGAGUACAUUAUGAGAAAUGCUGGACUGGAAGAAACACAAGCUGGGAUGAAGAUUGCCAAGAGAAACAUCAAUAACCUCAGAUAUGCAGAUGACACCACCCUUAUGGCAGAAAGUGAAGAAGAACUAAAGAGCCUCUUGAUGAAAGUGAAAGAGGAGAGUGAAAAAGUUGGCUUAAAGCUCAACAUUCAGAAAAAGAAGAUCAUGGCAUCUGGUCCCAUCACUUCAUGGGAAAUAGAUGGGGAAACAGUGGAAACAGUGUCAGACUUUAUUUUUUUGGACUCCAAAAUCACUGCAGAUGGUGACUGCAGCCAUGAAAUUAAAAGACGCUUACUCCUUGGAAGAAAAGUUAUGACCAACCUAGAGAGCAUAUUAAAAAGCAGAGACAUUCCUUUGCCAACAAAGGUCCGUCUCGUCAAGGCUAUGGUUUUUCCAGUGGUCAUGUAUGGAUCUGAGAGUUGGACUAUUAAGAAAGCUGAGUGCCAAAGAAUUGAUGCUUUUGAACUGUGGUGUUGGAGAAGACUCUUGAGAGUCCCUUGGACUGCAAGAUCAAACCAGUCCAUCCUAAAGGAGAUCAGUCCUGAGUGUUCAUUGGAAGGACUGAUGUUGAAGCUGAAGUUCCAAUACUUUGGCCACCUAAUGUGA